GGGCGUUUAACUCAGCGGGAGAGUGAUUCCUUCACACGGAAUAAGUCGCAGGUUCAAUCCCUGCAACGCCCACCA
rnacentral:tRNA from 2 species